GAAAUAUUCCAUUGCAUAUGAACCAUUAUCUUCUUAUUGGUAUCAUCGUCUAUUGUCCCUUGGGUGCCAUACUCGAUUGCUUCCAUCAACAGCCUGCAGAAUAGAUAUUUGCUAGACCCCGACCUACAUCCCAUGUGCAACUCACUUUCUCUUUCUUCUUUCUUUCUCCCUUCUUUCCUUAUCUUUUUCUACUUUAGUAGCACCUUUAAUAUCAAGAAACCAAUUAUCUAGUAUCAUAAAUAUUCCACAAUUAAUUUGUGCAAGUGAGCAACAAGCAUUUGCUCCGUUAUGGAAGUGCACAAAGAUUUCGAAGAGUACUCUUAAGCCAUGUUAUUGCUCUAAAAAGCCUCUUCAACUAUGAAAAAUGUACCACUCUUCUAUCUUUAUCAUGUUGUCAGCCUAGGUC
rnacentral:misc_RNA from 1 species